GGAAGAGAAGAGGAAAGAAGAGAGAUGCAGAAGAAAUUACCAGUGAACCAGUUGCAGGCACUACUCUUGACUCCAAAAUUUAUGGGAACUGUUUCAAUUUUUUCGAAACUCACCGGAGGAGGAACACCAAUUGGGACUUAUUGUUACUAUUACUUCCUGGGUAACUAAAAUGACUUAGAACUGUGAAAUGAAAAUAAAAUAAAAAGGAUGAAACAAAAGAAAGUGGCUAACAAAGAAAAAACAAGAAAAAAAAGAAAGAUGGAGACUUAAUCAUUGCCUUUUCUGUUUUGACAUAUUUAUGUGAAUGAUGCUGGUUUAAAGCUAUCACAAGUUCUAUUUAUUUAUGGUGGUUGGAAUUAUUACCCUUACUUUAAAGCUUCGAUCUUGUCACAAGCUUUAUUUACGUAAAAUCAAUUUAU
rnacentral:sRNA from 1 species